UUGCUUUUCAACAACGUAAAUAUAUAGAGAUUUUUCUAAAAUAAGUUUAUAAAAGUUGUCAUUAAUGGCUAUUUUAACUCUUCAGUUGGAGUUACUUGUUGUCUCUUAUUAAGGUUACUAAUUGUAAUAUAAAUGUAAAAAUGUUAAAACUAUUAUAAAACAUUAGCAUAAAUCACACAUUGUAAAACUCUUCCAAGACUGUAAAAAUGUUUUCAUUUUUGCAGGACAGCAGCUUGGCAUACAUAAUGAGUGGCAGUUGGCAAUUUUUAAUUAAAAGUUAGCAAUGUAAAACCGGAUUUUCAUAGAGAAACCAUUGCCUGCUUUGACUAAAAAAUAGUAUUGUGUCUCAUAUCAGGUUGAGUAUAAAAGUAUCGAUCAACAACUUCAAAUAAUUUAAAUAUUGUGCUUGUAUUUAAACUGCCACGAUGAAAAAGAAAAACUUUUAUAUUUUUUUUAAUAAACUUUUCAUAAUAAAUUAAUGAAAAUGCCAAGCUCUUAUUGUUACAUACCUGAAUUUUAUAGGUUUUUCUACAUCGUUCUUUAAAAAUAUUCACAAGUUGACUUAAGUUUCAGCUACAUCAGAAUAACGAUAGUAGACCAACUUUGGAUUUCAUGGAAUUAUCCUUAGAUAUUAACUAGUCGAUGAUCAACCUUAACACCAGAAUUAAUUUUAGAGAUUUGCAUCGAUAUGAGACCAUUAUUUCUUCAGCGAUUCAUACUUUUACAUCUUGUAAAAGUGUUUUUACAGAUCUUGGAAGAGUUAAUUAAACCACCAGACUAGCUUACAAACAUUCUUUAUAAAAGACUCAAUAUGUACAACUAGCCAUAUGUAUAUAAAAAGAUAUUAUUUUUAAGAUUAAAUUAAUUCUUUGUAGAUGUCUUA